GGGUGAGUAACACGUAUCCACCUGCCGUCUACUCUUGGACAGCCUUCUGAAAGGAAGAUUAAUACAAGAUGGCUCCGCAUGUUUAAAGGUAUUCGGUAGACGAUGGGGAUGCGUUCCAUUAGAUAGUAGGCGGGGUAACGGCCCACCUAGUCUUCGAUGGAUAGGGGUUCUGAGAGGAAGGUCCCCCACAUUGGAACUGAGACACGAUCCAACCUUUACGGGAGGCAGCAGUGAGGAAUAUUGGUCAAUGGGCGAGAGCCUGAACCAGCCAAGUAGCGUGAAGGAUGACUGCCUAUGGGUUGUAAACUUCUUUUAUAAAGGAAUAAGUCGGGUAUGGAUACCCGUUUGCAUGUACUUUAUGAAUAAGGAUCGGCUAACUCCGUGCCAGCAGCCGCGGUAAUACGGAGGAUCCGAGCGUUAUCCGGAUUUAUUGGGUUUAAAGGGAGCGUAGAUGGAUGUUUAAGUCAGUUGUGAAAGUUUGCGGCUCAACCGUAAAAUUGCAGUUGAUACUGGAUAUC
rnacentral:rRNA from 1 species